CAGAAAGAUGGGAUGUCCUGCCCCAGCAAAAAUCUAAUGAUUUUCUCUCUCUGUAGGAGAAAACGAAUACAGCAGGGAUGACUUCCACCAGCUCCACUUUGCAGCUCUGAGGUGUAUUAAAAAUGACCUGGAAGAAGUCAUGCCACGGGCCAGACCUUAACAUUCCUUUCGGCUUACCCCAGGAUUUCAGACAAAGCUUCACUUUCCUAACCAGUCACAAAUCAGAGAAUUUUUGAUUCCACCUAUGACCUGUGAGCUCCUGCUUCAAGAUAUUCCACCUUUUUUAGGCCAAACCAAUGUAUAACCUCCAAGUGUCGAUUUACACUUUCGACUGUAACUUCUGCUUUCCUGAGAUUUACCCCUGCCUUUAAAAACCCUUGCUUGUAAUCCCUCAGGGAGGCCGUGUAUUUAUUAAUCAUGAGCUGCCCAAUUCUCCUUGCUUGGUGCCCUGCAAAUAAACACCCUCUUUUCUC
rnacentral:lncRNA from 10 species